CGGACGGGUGAGUAACGCGUGAACAAUCUGCCGGAAGGAGGGGGAUAGCCCAUGGAAACGUGGAUUAAUACCCUGUGUGGUUUCGGGAGGCAUCUCCCGGGGACCAAACGUGCUGCAAGGUGCGGCCUUCUGAUGAGUUCGCGGCCUAUCAGCUUGUUGGCGGGGUAACGGCCCACCAAGGCGAUGACGGGUAGCUGGUCUGAGAGGAUGACCAGCCACACUGGAACUGAGACACGGUCCAGACACCUACGGGUGGCAGCAGUCGAGAAUCAUUCACAAUGGGGGAAACCCUGAUGGUGUGACGCCGCGUGGAGGAUGACGGUCUUCGGAUUGUAAACUCCUGUCAUGUGGGAGUAAAGCCGGGGGUUAACUGCCUGCCGGUUUGAGAGUACCACAAGAGGAAGAGGCGGCUAACUCUGUGCCAGCAGCCGCGGUAAUACAGAGGCCUCAAGAGUUGUUCGGAAUCACUGGGCGUAAAGGGUGCGUAGGCGGCGCGGAAAGUCAGGGGUGAGAUCCCGGAGCUCAACUCCGGAACGGCCUUUGAUACUCCCGCGCUUGAGGACUGGAGGGGAGAUCGGAAUUCACGGUGGAGCAGUGAAAUGCGUGGAUAUCGUGAGGAACACUAGUGGCGAAGGCGGAUCUCUGGACAGUAUCUGACGCUGAGGCACGAAGGCCAGGGGAGCGAAUGGGAUUAGAUACCCCAGUAGUC
rnacentral:rRNA from 1 species